CUUCACCGGCAAUUUACCUUGGACCAGGCGCCCCCGGAGCUGCGGGUGGAGGCGCAGAGCCGUAGCCCCGAGGAGAGGAGUUUGAGAGCCGCCAUCUUCGGGGCCCGCUGUGGAAGACUUGGCGGGUUGCAGCGCGCGUGAGUGUGCAAGCGCUGGUUGCCGGGGCCGCCGCGGCGUCACAGGGAGAGAAGAAGGGGAGGCGCUCGGGGGGCGGGCUGGAGGCUCGACCGCGCGUCGCUGACGUCCUCGGGGCCUCCAGCGCGUCACCGCCCAUUGCCUGCUGCAGACUCGUGGAGAAGCGAGGCUGGGAGGGGCCGGCGGCCCGGAGUGGAGGAGGAAAAAUGCUUGACAGAGAAAUCUCAACUUAUGGAAUGAAAAUGAAAAUUGUGUUUUCUUCCAGUGUCUUUGAGAUCCAAAGUCCACAUUUCUUAACAUGUCAUAGAAGGGAUCAACUCUCCUGGUCUUCCUCCCCCACACAGACUCUGAUUUAUAUUCCAAAUUAUAUGUGCCUCUGGAUUUUUACAUAAUAAAUACAACUUCAAAAUCAAGUGUUAAUAGAAUGAUUUAAAAAAAUCAUAGACUCUGUAGCUAGACUAAUCAAAUCUCAAGCUCUGCUGUUCCCUUGUUACGUGGAUCCCUAUGGUAAAACAGUUCAGAAGAACUUGCAGAAUGUCAAGAUAUAGGACAAUAUCUAUACCAGUAUUUGUACCUAGUGUUAUGUUUAAAGAUUAUACCUUGUGAAUUUAUUUCAUAGAGACUGUCCAUCUGUUUGUUUGUUUGUUUGGGUACAAAGGAUUGAACUCAGGGGUACUAGACCACUGAGCCACAUCCUCAGCCCUAAUUUGUAUUUUAUUAAGAGACAGGGUCUCACUGAGUUGCUAGCUCCCUUUUGCUGAGGUUGGCUUUGAACUCACCAUUCUCUUGUCUCAGCCUCUGGAGCUGCUGGGAUUACAGGCAUGCACCGCUGCACCUGGCUGUCCAACUGUGCUUGCUGGUGGGGAAAAAAAAAAAAAAAAAUACCUCAGACUGGGUAACUUGUAAACAGAAAUUUAUUUCUCAAAGUUUUAGAGACUAGAAAGUCAAGAUACCAACAGAUUCAGUGUGCUAAAAUAAAUUAAAUUUGACCUAAAGUUCCCUGUGUGUUUUGAAUUCCUAGAAAACUGCAGUGUAAUUGAGGAAUAUAUUCUUAGGACAAAUAACUUGAAUCCCAGUUAAUCACAGCAGCCAAAGGUUAGCAAAUCAGACUGCCAAAUGAUCAGACCAUUUUUCCAUAAGGCAAAUGACUCAUCCCACCAUGCCCCAAAAAAGACAAAUGCUGAUUUGUAACCAAUCAAGCUGUUUCUGUGUGGCACUUCCAUUUUCUGUCCUUACUGCCUGCCCACAUUGCUUGGAGCUCUCUAAUCCACUACUGGUUCAGAGUGCUACCAGAUUCGUGAAUUGUUCUUUGCUAAAUUUAACUCUGCUAAACCUAAUUUUUCUAAAGAUUUUCUUUUAAGAGGUCUGGUGAAGAUCUGUUCUUCGUAGAGAGCACCCUCUUUGUGUCUGUACACUUCUGAAGGAACAAACAGUCCCUCUUACCUCUUUUAUAAUAGCACUAAUUCCAUUCAUGAGGGCUCCACCAUUGGUAUAGUCUAGAUAUGGAUCAUCCCUCCAAAAUCUCCUGUUAAUCCAGGAAUAUUAAGAGGAAUAUUAAGAGGAAUGAUUACAUUAUGCUGUCACCUAAUUAGUCCAUCCUAGUUUGUUUGGACUGACUGGGUGGUUACUGUAAGCAGGGUGAAGGGAGUGAUUGGAGAAGGUCAAUCACUAGGGACUUGCCCUGAAAGGGUGUAUCUUCCCUGUGGUCCUUCUCCCAUGAUGUGCUGCCUUACCUUGGGCCUAAAGCAAUGGAGUUGGCUGAAUAUGAACUGAGACCUCUGAAGCCCUGAGUCCCAAAUUCUUCUCUCAGUUGUUCAUCAGGUGUUUUGGUCACCACGACACAAAAACUGACAAAAACAAACCUUGCAACUUAAUCAUCAUCUAAUGGCCCUACCUUUUAAUACUAUCACAAUGGGAAUUAGGUUUCAACUUAGCAGUUGCAGGGGUGGGGAGAUAUUCAGGCCAUGUCCGUUGCCUUCUCUUCUUUCAUACUCUAGAAAAUAUCAGGCAGGAUUCAAACCCUGUACUUUAUGACAUUAAAGACAGCUUUUACCUUUACACAUCCCUCUUUCUCAGAUAUUUUUGACUUUCACCUCAACUCUCCAGUUUAAUUCUGCACUAAUUCAGAACCGGAGCUUCAGUUUCUCUAAUCUGGAUUAUAUAAUUCCCUCCUAAAUAUAUGUCUCUUCUCCCUCAAUGUAACUAUCUUAAAAUUAUCAUUUCAAACACAGUCCAAUCUCACAUCCUUCCCUAAAAUAUUUCAAAAUAUCUUUAUCAGCUACAAGUUGAAGCCCAACAUCUAGGCAUAGCCAAGAUUUUUUAAAAUAUGGUCUUAAUAUACCCUCUAAUUGUAAAGGCUAAGCAGAGGUACUUUAGGAGCUGAACAUUUGAAAUUAAAUUAAUUUAUCUUUUAUCAAUUUUCAAAAGUUUUUUGUAGUUGUAAUAUGGACAGAAUGCCUUUAUUUUAUUUGUGUUACUUUUAUGUGGUA